UGAUUGGUGCCCUAAGGCAUGUGUCCAGCUUGGACGAGAAGGAAUCACUCGUCCAGUCUGCUGCAGACUUUUUUGUAAAUGGAAGACUACAGGCUGCCCUAAACCAGUUCAUUGAGGGAUUCAAAACCCUUGGGUUAUUAAAGGAAAUGAAAAGGCACCCAGCUCUGUUCCUGCCUCUUUUUGUAAAUGAGGACAUCCCGCUGCAAGCUAAAGACUUGGUAACAUUGUUUAAGGUGGACUUCUCUGUACAGGGAAGCAACAGAAGAGCAAAGGAAAACCGCACCAUCUGCUUUUGGCGCAACUUAUUAAUAGAAAUUGAAGAAGGAGAAUGCUCUAUCACCCUUGAAAAUAUCUUGGAAUUUGCCUCCAGAGCAUCAUCUGUGCCUGUCGUAGGUUUUCCUCAAAGGCCGCAAAUCCAUUUUCUUCAUGAAGAAAACCGACCGUUCCCAGAGGCAAACACAUGCCUCAUAAUCCUUCGUCUACCCAUUCAUGGGGAUUAUAAUACUUUCAAACAACACUUCAUUGAUGGUAUAGUUCAAGCUCCUGUGUUUGGAUUUGCUUAAAGAGCCAUUGUAGAGAUUUUCAAGGUGCUGCCACAGGUGGUCAUUAGAGAAACAGCAGUCAGUAUCCUGUUCUGUGUUUAGAGGUUUAACCCUCAAAUCUUUUGCUAUUAAAAUGUUUUUGUUCAUGAAACAGGAUAAAACACAUCAAUUGAAGCUGUAUUAUUGUUCAAAGUUAUACAUCUGUUACUUUACUGUUAUACAUAAUUCAAAACUAUAUAACAUAUCAGAGGUGGGAUGUAACAACUUACAUUAAUUAUUUUAUGGGCGCUGAGGGGAUCAGACAGAGACCUGUGGAUAUAUCUGCUGCAUUUUGUAAAAGAUCACUUUGACAUGUUUAUGUUCACAAAUAAUGAGUUAAUAA